rnacentral:lncRNA from 12 species
AUGCUGUGUUUAAAAGCUGAGAUGAAGAUCAAAACUACGGCUUUUCAUGCUUUCUUGCUGCUCGCAGACCUGCGGUUAGGGCCACAGUGGGACAAAAACUAUUUGAGCUGUGAAGAGUUUGAGAAAGCAGAUGAGGAGGAAACCAUUUAUCACAUUAAAUGCACCACAGUCAAAGGAAGCACAAAUCAGGAUUUCGUGGUUCUGUUGUCUGCAAAGAUGGGUAUGAUUCCAGUGCUACCAUGAGUGUGAGUUUUGGAUAAAUCUUAAUCUUAAUCUUAUAAUACACCCAAAAAUGAAAAUUUGCCAAAACUUAACUUAGGCUGUCCAAGAUGUAGAUGAGUUUGUUUCUUCAUCAGAACAGAUUUGGAGAAUUUUAUUAUGAACAUCAUAACUAUAAAGCCAACUAUGAUGAUAUCUAUAUUAGAUGUUAUAUUACAGUUGUAGUGUUAGAGUUAGAACAAUCAUUUAAAUUUUACUGUUUAUAAUUUUCGUCUUUGGUGUCAAGGGGUCCCAUAAAACCAUAAAUAUCUAUGGCACAAUAUACAUCUGACUAAACCUGCAUUAUCAUUUUCACAGUCCACACUCUUCAAAGUGUCUUUAAAAAGGUGCUGUCUCAGUUUGGACAAUAGAGUAAAACAGAAAUAAAUAUGAAUGUAUAUGUAUGUAAAAUAUGUAGACACGGCCUCAGGGACUGCACAAUUAUUUAAACAAAAACUUGUCGCAAUAAUGUCUUUGAUGAUUAAAUAUAAUAAUCAUGAAAAUGGUAAAUUACAGCAUUGCAUGUAGGUCUUAUGUUCUGCAUUUAGAGUAAGCUUAGAACAAAAGAGAAAAUAUUUAUUAUAAACAAUGAAGUUUUGGAUAUACAGAUUGUUUUGGAUAUGUAGCUGCAUGACAAAGAUGACAUGCAGUUGUAUUUUGAUGUCAAAUUAAAAUGAAUUGCUAUUGCAAUAUCAAAAGAAAUAGCCUAAUUAACAAUUGCGAUGCAUUAUAACGUUGCAGCCUUAGUUGUGUAUUAUACUGCAGAAUUAAUUCUUUAUAAUCAUGUUUGUGGUUUUUUAAAUUUUUUUUUAAAAAGGUGACUGAAGGUGAAAGUUUGUCACAUCGAAUGUGAAAACUGACAAGGAAUUACUCAAAACAACAGUAACAAAAAAAAAAAGUAUUUAUUUGUCCUUCCACUCUGAUAAGAUCCUGCAUCCAUUUCUAAACCUAUUCCGCGAACCGCAUUCAUCCGCACAGACGAGCAGUGGCAAAGCACAACCAAAAAUAACAUAGUAUGCAAAAUAAUGGUAUUCAGCUAGACGCAUGCAUUUUUAUACAUCAAGAUACAUGAAGUAAUAUGGCCACGUGACGUAAAAACCCUCUAUUAUAGAGUAUAUUUGUACAAAGGUGUCUUGUAAAUAUCAAAUUUAAUCAAAUCAAACUAAAUUAAAUCAAAUUCUCUUCUCUUUCUUGAGCAUAUAAAUGAGAACACACAUGAUUCUUAAUUAAAUCCUUAAAAUUUACAAGUUAAGCACAUAUGACAUCAUAAGUCUCAGGCAACUUCAUCAUGAGGACAAUUAAUAACAAGUAAAUGGUCUCUCUACAGGAACAGUCACUUUUGUUUGUGACUAAAUACCUCUGAGGCAGACGGUGAAUCAUUGGUUAGUUCAUGACUGCAGAAACCAAAUCUAAAUGAACGAUCAGUUAAAUAGUCCAUUUCUACAUUUCUCCUCUGUGGAUCAGAACACCACCACCUUGUCUUUUUUGGCUUGUGCUUUCUUCACAGGCACAUGGACGUCCUCGUGGUCAGCGCUGAUUCUACUGGACAGCCGACUGAGGGAGAUGGAAUUAACUGCCAAAAAGAAGUUUGAGUUCAUUUAGAUGUUUCAAUUUUCAAAUAAAGAAGAAGAUACCAAAUUUUCAGUGGACAUGGUUACAACUGAUCAGCUCACUUGAGUUCUGGUGUUCAGGACAAUCUUUCUGAAAGUUCUCCAUUGAACCACAAAUCCAUCAGAAACCGCAUGACCAUAACCAUAUUUAUCGUGCACCCCUAGAUUAAAAAUUAAAAAAUGCUGCUGGAUUUGGAUGUGAGUAGGCUAACUGUAACAAGUCCUCAGUUUUUGUCCUUAUAGUAAGUUUUGUUUUGUCCAGUAGGUGGUAGUCACUGUGCAGUCUGUGAAUGAUGCUCAAAUGUGCCCCAGGAUCACAAAACCAAAUUUUUUUAUUCAAAUUUUUUGAGAUUUGAAUAAUCUGAAAGCUGAAUAAAGAAGCUUUCCGUUGGUGUACUAUGGUUUGCUAGGAUAGGACAAUAUUUGGCUGGGAUACAACUAUUUGAAAAUCUGGAAUGUGGGGGUGCAAAAAAAUCUAAAUAUUGAGAAAACUGCCUUAAAAUGUUGUAAAAGUAAAUGUAUUAUAAAUUGCAAAGGUGGACUACAGGUAUAACCUCGAAAAGCAGGAUUCUGUGUCGUGACGUCAUGGCGGGCGCGCUCAUUGAGACUCGAGGUCACUCCGGUGACUGAUGCGCAAACUUCUAGAAAACGUCUAGAAGAAGAAAAUGGUAUAAGAAUAAAAUAAUGGAGAAAUUAAUGGAAUAAUUUAAAUAUUCGAAUUCUGUUUAUAUUAUAUAUUUAUAUUCUGUUUUUAUUCUGUUGAUACUCAGGAAGUUUAUUAUAUUGUAAAAUAAUGAAAGCAAUUAUUUAAUAUCUUAAUAUGGAGCUUUCCUUCGUGGAUUAUUUUUCCCUUCUCUGACAUGGAACUGUUUAUGCAAAGCUAAUUUGUCUUUACAAUAUUUGGUAUUUGAGGAACUGUAACUCUGGCUUGGCUGCUGCGCGUGUAUGGAGACUGUGAACCUUUUCACGCAUCUUGAACUUUUCAGAGCUGUUCGGACACACACAAACCCACGGAGCUACCAUGUUUGAGUCAUUUCUAUACUUCCGUAUUCUAGAAAUUUAUCUCCUUAUCUUUUAUCGUCUAAAAACCUAGUGUAUUGUUUUGACGCGCUAGUGUCUUGAGCAUCUCCAAGCGCGUUUGUUUUAUUAGACUGUAAGUGCUCGCCGUCUCUAUUUUUUAUUUUUAUUUAUUUAUUUGUUUGUUUGUUUGUUUGUUUGUUUAUUUUUGGACUUGCAGAUCGGAGCAGAUAUAUUAACGAUAUAGCUGAUAUAUUAAAGAUAUCAUCGUAUUUAAAAUCCGUUUGACUUAUGCUGUGGUAAGUUCAUACCACGUUUUUAAAUUAAUGACCAGUUUUGCAGUUACGUUUUACUUGCUGAUUGAUUUUAAAUUAUUAACUCGUGAAACAGACAGACUGCACGACCCCCUUUAAAAAUGCAAAUGCAAUUUCUUGAUUUGUAAUGUUUUUCCUCCCUUGAGGUUCGAGAAAGGAAGUACCUGGAGGAUGUCAUUCUUUGAUUGAUGGAAAGACUCAUUUUAGUCAUUUCACGAUUUUCAACUAUUUUCUAAAAUAAAUUAUGCUUUGGAAGGACUAUCUUAGGAUUUAAGUCUACAUCAAAGACUGCUUUGCACUUCUCU